UACAGAGGUCCCGAGCGUUGUUCGGAUUCACUGGGCGUAAAGGGUGCGUAGGUGGCCUGGAAAGUUUGAUGUGAAAGCUCAGGGCUUAACCCUGAAAUGGCAUUGAAUACUGCCGUGCUGGAGGUUUGGAGGGGGGACUGGAAUUCUUGGUGUAGCAGUGAAAUGCGUAGAUAUCAAGAGGAACACCAGUGGCGAAGGCGAGUCCCUGGACAACACCUGACACUGAGGCACGAAAGCUAGGGGAGCAAACAGG
rnacentral:rRNA from 1 species